rnacentral:rRNA from 1 species
AGUGAACGCUGGCGGUAGGCCUAACACAUGCAAGCCGAACGGCAGCACAGUAAGAGCUUGCUCUUACGGGUGGCGAGUGGCGGACGGGUGAGGAAUACAUCGGAAUCUACUUUUUCGUGGGGGAUAACGUAGGGAAACUUACGCUAAUACCGCAUACGACCUACGGGUGAAAGCAGGGGAUCUUCGGACCUUGCGCGAUUGAAUGAGCCGAUGUCGGAUUAGCUAGUUGGCGGGGUAAAGGCCCACCAAGGCGACGAUCCGUAGCUGGUCUGAGAGGAUGAUCAGCCACACUGGAACUGAGACACGGUCCAGACUCCUACGGGAGGCAGCAGUGGGGAAUAUUGGACAAUGGGCGCAAGCCUGAUCCAGCCAUACCGCGUGGGUGAAGAAGGCCUUCGGGUUGUAAAGCCCUUUUGUUGGGAAAGAAAAGCAGCAGGUUAAUACCCCGCUGUUCUGACGGUACCCAAAGAAUAAGCACCGGCUAACUUCGAG